rnacentral:rRNA from 1 species
AUUGAACGCUGGCGGCAGGCCUAACACAUGCAAGUCGAGCGAGCGGCGGACGGGUGAGUAAUGUCUGGGAAACUGCCUGAUGGAGGGGGGUAACUACUGGAAACGGUAGCUAAUACCGCAUACCAUCAGAUGUGCCCAGAUGGGAUUAGCUAGUAGGUGGGGUAACGGCUCACCUAGGCGACGAUCCCUAGCUGGUCUGUGAGGAUGACCAGCCACACUGGAACGGAGACACGGUGCAGACUCCGACGGGAGGCAGCUGUGGGGAAUAUUGCACAAGGGGCGCAAGCCUGAUGCAGCCAUGCCGCGUGUGUGAAGAGGGCCUUCGGGUUGUAAAGCACUUUCAGCGGGGAGGCGUUACCCGCAGAAGAAGCACCGGCUAACUCCGUGCCAGCAGCCGCGGUAAUAC